GACGAACGCUGGCGGCGUGCUUAACACAUGCAAGUCGAACGGAAAGGCCCUGCUUUUGUGGGGUGCUCGAGUGGCGAACGGGUGAGUAACACGUGAGUAACCUGCCCUUGACUUUGGGAUAACUUCAGGAAACUGGGGCUAAUACCGGAUAGGAGCUCCUGCUGCAUGGUGGGGGUUGGAAAGUUUCGGCGGUUGGGGAUGGACUCGCGGCUUAUCAGCUUGUUGGUGGGGUAGUGGCUUACCAAGGCUUUGACGGGUAGCCGGCCUGAGAGGGUGACCGGCCACAUUGGGACUGAGAUACGGCCCAGACUCCUACGGGGGGCAGAAGGGGGGAAUAUUGCACAAUGGGCGGAAGCCUGAUGCAGCAACGCCGCGUGCGGGAUGACGGCCUUCGGGUUGUAAACCGCUUUCGCCUGGGACGAAGCGUGAGUGACGGUAAUGGGUAAAGAAGCACCGGCUAACUACGUG
rnacentral:rRNA from 1 species